GAUGAACGCUGGCGGCGUGCCUAAUACAUGCAAGUCGAGCGAAUGGAUUAAGAGCUUGCUCUUAUGAAGUUAGCGGCGGACGGGUGAGUAACACGUGGGUAACCUGCCCAUAAGACUGGGAUAACUCCGGGAAACCGGGGCUAAUACCGGAUAACAUUUAGAACCGCAUGGUUCGAAAUUGAAAGGCGGCUUCGGCUGUCACUUAUGGAUGGACCCGCGUCGCAUUAGCUAGUUGGUGAGGUAACGGCUCACCAAGGCAACGAUGCGUAGCCGACCUGAGAGGGUGAUCGGCCACACUGGGACUGAGACACGGCCCAGACUCCUACGGGAGGCAGCAGUAGGGAAUCUUCCGCAAUGGACGAAAGUCUGACGGAGCAACGCCGCGUGAGUGAUGAAGGCUUUCGGGUCGUAAAACUCUGUUGUUAGGGAAGAACAAGUGCUAGUUGAAUAAGCUGGCACCUAGACGGUACCUAACCAGAAAGCCACGGCUAACUACGUGCCAGCAGCCGCCGUAA
rnacentral:rRNA from 1 species